GGAACACCCAGAAGCUACAUGACUCGC
rnacentral:sRNA from 1 species